rnacentral:lncRNA from 1 species
UCAUAUUGACAUAUACAAGAAAUGUUUUUUUUUCAAAAGAGGUUGUAAGUUGUCCCGUCCAUGGAAGGAUUAUGUGAAAUUUGUCUUAUUCAUCUCAUUCAAUUCAUUCAAACUCGUUAGAUAGUUUGAGGAGAAAUUGUCUUAUAGAUACUGUAAUAGGUGAUGAUCCGCUCAAAAAAUUGAAAAUUUUAGUUAGUAGAUAAAAUGUAAUAAGUCAUAGUAACAAAUAAUACAUGUUACACGAUGUUGUAAUGUUUGAUAUACAAAUCAGUGAAAAGCAAUUAGCACGGGCUUUCGGAUGAACUGAGCUCAAAAUGCUAAGAACUCAAAAUCUCAGGCAUGUUUUUACAUAAAAAUCUUCAAUGAAUAAACAGUCAAAUCACAGAUAUGAAGUGAGCAAAGUGGUGUUUACAUCUCUUACAUUUCAAUAAGAGUGAAGAAGAGGAGGAAGAUGAGGGAGAGAAUGUAGUAUCUAAUAGAUUUGCUGCUGAAUUUCAUCGAGCUCUUCUCCCUGUAACAACAAACGAAACCAAAAUCAAUAAAAAGAACAAAAUCAUCUACAUUCAAG